GCCCGGCUGGCGCAAUGGCUAGCGCAUUCGACUUCUACGAUGCGAUGCCGUGAUCGAAAGGUUGCCGGUUCGAGUCCGGCGUCGGGUG